rnacentral:rRNA from 1 species
AGUCAAUAGAUACCCGGGUAGUCCACGCCGUAAACGAUGAGUACUAGGUGUAGGAGGUAUCGACUCCUUCUGUGCCGCAGUUAAACACAAUAAGUACUCCGCCUGGGAAGUACGGUCGCAAGAUUAAAACUCAAAGGAAUUGACGGGGGCCCGCACAAGCAGCGGAGCAUGUGGUUUAAUUCGAAGCAACGCGAAGAACCUUACCUAGACUUGACAUCUCCUGAAUAGUGUAGAGAUACAUGAAGCCCUUCGGGGCAGGAAGACAGGUGGUGCAUGGUUGUCGUCAGCUCGUGUCGUGAGAUGUUGGGUUAA